UCGAACGAUGAAGGGGAGCUUGCUCCCUGGAAUAGUGGCGAACGGGUGAGUAACACGUGAGCAACCUGCCCCUAACUCUGGGAUAACGCUUCGAAAGGAGUGCUAAUACCGGAUAUGAGCCUGGAAGACAUCUUCUGGGUUGGAAAGUUUUUCGGUUAGGGAUGGGCUCGCGGCCUAUCAGCUUGUUGGCGGGGUAAAGGCCCACCAAGGCGACGAUCCGUAGCUGGUCUGAGAGGAUGAUCAGCCACACUGGGACUGAGACACGGCCCAGACUCC
rnacentral:rRNA from 1 species